rnacentral:rRNA from 1 species
CCUACGGGUGGCAGCAGUGGGGGAUAUUGCACAAUGGGGGAAACCCUGAUGCAGCGACGCCGCGUGAGUGAAGAAGUAUUUCGGUAUGUAAAGCUCUAUCAGCAGGGAAGAAAAUGACAGUACCUGACCAAGAAGCCCCGGCUAACUACGUGCCAGCAGCCGCGGUAAUACGUAGGGGGCAAGCGUUAUCCGGAUUUAAUGGGUGUAAAGGGAGCGUAGACGGUUAUGUAAGUCUGGAGUGAAAGCCCGGGGCCCAACCCCUGGACUGCUUUGGAAACUGUGUAACUGGAGUACAGGAGGGGCAGGCGGAAUUCCUGGUGUAGCGGUGAAAUGCGUAGAUAUCAGGAGGAACACCAGUGGCGAAAGCGGCUCUCUGGUCUGUAACUGACGCUGAGGUUCGAAAGCGUGGGUAGCAAACAGGAUUAGAUACCCUAGUAGUC